AGCUGUGGGCAGAUAUCAGACACACUAACAAUUCAUGUAGUGUCAUCUUUUGUUCCAGAUCAACAUACUACCUGCAUUCUUGUGCAGACAACACUGCCUGAAAACUGCUUUAAGGAGAGCCCAAGGCACAGCAGGAACUUACCUCUCUGUCACCUAAAUUACAGCUAUACAAAACGUCAUAUAAUCUGUACAACGUGCCUUCUCAGGACUCAGAGUCUGUUUCUCCAAGCUCCCUGUGGCUUGCUGCCAUUUACUAAGUUGGAAGAAACCAGGCAAUUUGCGAGAGUCAAGGAUUUGGGAUUUUUUUUUCACCACCUCUAACUCAGACAUAAUUUCACUUGAGAUCUGAAAUGGAUGCAGGAGUUGUAGAGCUGAGAACAGCAAUGAUGUGUUUAGGGAAUAGUUAAACUGUGUAGUUUGCUUUCUGUGAUUACAUUUUGAAUACUAGCUUGCCAUUAAGAUAAUUUCCUCUUAGCUACUGUCUUCAUUCACUUGUUUUUCCUUCUGCUCUUACUUAUCUGCUUUCCUGUCAUUAGGCUUACAGUGAUUGACAGGUAUUUUACUUUCCAAGAGAGGAAUCAAAUGUAUUUUCAAAUGUAUUCAAAUUAAUCAGAGCUUACCGAGAGCUUACGAGUCAUUCAGCUGCCUUUGAAUGCCCACUCACAAACCAAUCCACACAAAUACAAUGCUCCAUGUUCCCAAUGCACAAGGGUUGUGCAGCUCUUGAAAUUAUAAAUUGAGAAUUACACUCAGAUGAAUGUUGGCUGCAUAAGUUGCCUAAGAUAACAUAAACUCUCCUUUAUGUGUCUCUCUCUCUCUCUCUGAGUUAACAGGUCUAAAGUUCAGCUAUAAUAUUGAAGAAAAGCAAACUAACCUGCAGCCCUGCAUGGAAAGAGAAUAAAUCUUCUACCCAAGUAGGUGGCCCGGUAUGGCUGCACAGUCAAGCACCCAGUGGCACCCAACUGGUCUGUCCUUUCCCUGUUCAAGAGCUUGGAUAACGUUAUGUGAGAAGGGAAUAAACUACUUACAACUGAAUGAGAAUCAGCAACAGAAAAAGUGCAUUGCUUACCAUUUCCCAGAGCAGCUGUCAAACCCUUUCAGCCCUAACUAACAGCCAGGAAUUUAAAACCUUGAAGGGAAGACAAGAAUUGACUGUAGUGAGGUGCUUCAGACCUUUUCAUUACAAGAGCUCCUCUAAACUUGCAGUUCCUAGAAACAAUCUCUUGUCAGUUUCCCACAGUCCAGAUGCAGCUGGUGAUGGUAUUUUAGUUCUUGAAAGCAGACACUGAAGUCCCAUGCGGAAUGUAGAUUCCAAUACUGGCAGAGGCAGCUCUUUAGGAAGAGCCAGACAAGAGGAAGAAACAGCAGUUGGAAGAAGCAAGAGAUUUCCUGAGAAUAAGAAUUCUAUUUUCAAAAAAUCUUAAAAACAUCCAAAAGAAAC